rnacentral:rRNA from 1 species
AUGCUUCCACCCUUACGUAUGAGGGGUCACACCAAGGUCAAAGAGAUGAACUACGACAACCGCUACGAGCCAUAUUACAGGAGAGCCGGGCUCUUGGGUUUCGUGCUCCAGUUCAAGCGUAUGCCGCCGACGCUUGUCCACACGGCUCUCACAACGUUGGUGGACCGUUGGCGGCCCGAGACGCACUCUUUCCAUCUCCCAUGUGGUGAGAUGACGGUGACGCUUGAGGACUUUGCCAUGAUCACGGCCCUACCAUCAAGGGCCAUGCUCUCAUUGGGCGCGUGGAUAGGAAGAACUGGCCGGACAGGGUUACCGCCCUCAUCGGCGACUGCCCUUCCAUCAAGAGUAACCGAACAUCCGGUGUAG